rnacentral:rRNA from 1 species
GACGAACGCUGGCGGCGUGCUUAACACAUGCAAGUCGAACGGAAAGGUCCUGCUUUUGUGGGGUGCUCGAGUGGCGAACGGGUGAGUAACACGUGAGUUACCUGCCCUUGACUUUGGGAUAACUUCAUGAAACUGAGUCUAUUACCGGAUAGGAGCUCCUGCUGCAUGGUGGGGGUUGGAAAGUUUCGGCGGUUGGGUAUGGACUCGCGGCUGAUCAGCUUGUUGGUGGGGUAGUUGCUUACCAAGGCUGUGCCGGGUAGCCGGCCGGUGAGGGAGACCGACCAGAUAGAGACUGAGUGACAGACCAGACUCAUACGGGAGGCAGGAGGGGGUAAGAAUGAACAGAGGGCGGAAGCCUGAUGCAUCAAGGACUCGUGCGUGAUGGCGGCCUUCGUGAGUAAACCGCUUCCGCCUGUGACGAAGUGUGAGUGACGGUAAUGGGUAAAGAAGCACCGGCUAACUACGUG